UCCGCUGCGCCGAGUAAAUUAUCAUUCCUUUCUGAGGCAAACUUUUUCAUACGUCUGACCUCUGCCUUAUGGAUCCCACUGUAAUGUCUGACGGGGUUAAUUUCAGAGAAUAUAUUUUACGGCUGUUCGAAUGGUUAAGCUGAUGAACGAUAGCAAUUUCAAUUCUGACCCGAUACCUUUAACCUAGCGACUGCUAUCGGUUAUCCAUUACGAGCUUAAACGAGGUCACUGCUGCAAGAAACGAUAUUGCACCGACUUUCAGUCCCUUUCAUAUGGAAUGAUGGAUUGUUUGAUAAAAACUUGUGAGAAAGUGAAAUAAGGAUGGAUACUCUAAAUGGCCCUCUGGCGGUGAAUUCAUGAAGUAGCGCUAUAGUAAUCCACCUUGGAUCCCACUGAUCCUAAGAGGACACUCUAAUAAUCCACUGGUGGCAAAAACAGGAGAAAAUUUAUCUGAGGGAUAAACAAGGAGCCUGGAAAUUUCUUAUGCAUGCUGAAGAAUGAUCUGAAAAUUGGAAAAUUUUUAGA